rnacentral:rRNA from 1 species
UACGUAGGGUGCAGGCGUUAAUCGGAAUUACUGGGCGUAAAGCGUGCGCAGGCGGUUUCUUAAGUCAGAUGUGAAAGCCCCGGGCUUAACCUGGGAACUGCGUUUGAAACUGGGAGACUUGAGUGUGGCAGAGGGGGGUGGAAUUCCACGUGUAGCAGUGAAAUGCGUAGAUAUGUGGAGGAACACCGAUGGCGAAGGCAGGUCUCUGGGCCACUACUGACGCUGAGAAGCGAAAGCGUGGGGAGCGAACAGG